rnacentral:rRNA from 1 species
AUGGUUAACACCAUGUUAGACACUUCGGGUCUAUCCAAGGAAUGGUGGGGGGAGGCGCUAAUGACUGCGUGUCAUGUCCUAAACCGAGUUCCCACAAAGCAUAAGACCAUGACUCCAUUUGAGGAAUGGGAAAGGAAAAGGUUGAAACUCUCUUACCUACGUACUUGGGGUUGUUUGGCGAAAGUCAAUAUACCAAUUCCCAAGAAGCGCAAGCUUGGACCAAAAACCGUGGAUUGUGUUCUUCUGGGCUAUGCUUUUCAUAGCAUCGGCUAUAGAUUUUUGAUAAUAAAAUCGGAGGUAUCCGACAUGCAUGUUGGUAUGAUUAUGGAAUCAAAUGAUGCAACUUUCUUUGAGGACAUAUUUCCUAUGAAGGAUAUGUCGAGUUCAUCAAAUCAGGAGAUACCUACUCCAUCUAGUGAGGAAUUCACUGUAAUUCCUGAACCCACCAUUGCGAUGGAACACGUUGAGAAUCCUGUUGAGGGUAACAAUGGAACUCCUAUGAGGAGUAAGAGACAGAGGACUGCAAAGUCUUUUGGUGAUGAUUUCAUUGUGUACCUCGUGGAUGACACACCCAGGACUAUUUCAGAAGCCUAUGCAUCUCCUGAUGCUGACUACUGGAAGGAAGCUAUACGUAGCGAGAUGGAUUCCAUCUUAGCUAAUGGUACCUGGGAGAUCACUGACUGUCUUUAUGGGUGCAAACCUGUAGGAUGUAAGUGGGUGUUCAAGAAGAAGCUUAGACCUGAUGGUACGAUUGAAAAGUACAAGGCACGGCUUGUGGCCAAGGGUUAUACCCAGAAAGAAGGUGAAGACUUCUUUGAUACUUACUCACCCGUGGCUAGACUGGCCACAAUUCGGGUGCUACUAUCACUGGCUGCCUCACAUGGUCUUCCCGUUCAUCAAAUGGAUGUUAAGACGGCUUUCCUCAAUGGAGAGUUGAAGGAGGAAAUUUACAUGGAUCAGUCAGAUGGUUUUGUAGUACCUGGUCAGGAAGGAAAGGUGUGCAAGUUAUUAAAGUCUUUAUAUGGCCUUAAACAAGCUCCUAAGGAGUGGCAUGAGAAGUUCGAAAGAACAUUAACUGCUGUCGGCUUUGUAGUAAACGAUGGUGACAAGUGCGUGUACUAUCGCUAUGGUGGGGCGAAGGAGUUAUUCUUUGUCUGUAUGUCGACGACAUAUUGA